AUGAAGAGAACGGGAUCCGCCAUGUUGGCUCCGACCGCGCUGUGUUUUUCUACGCAAGCUAACACCGCAAUGGAUCCAGUUUCGACUUCUUUUGCGCCUCCCUCUCUUGGUCUUGUUGUUCCGCGUGUGAGGGUCGUUGUAUUUUGGAUGAUGCUGUGUCCAUUGGUUGUUUUCUUAACGGGAGGGAUUAUUUAUUUGCUUUUGUAAUUGAAUUGUUUUAGUUAAAGAGGCGGUUAAAUUAUACAUGAAACGCAAGACUUGGAAGGUAAAGAAAGAAACAGCAACUAACGCCGACUGCAGAGAGCUGAGGGAGUGAGAACGGAUCAGCCUCACUCGAAGGAAGUUUCUGAGAUGGAAGCAGCUCACAUCAGCCCAGAGCUUCCUGUUCGAUGGGUUGUUUCUGCAGACAGAACUGUUGAGAUCAAGGAGGAAGUGACUGAGCUGGGGUGUGAUCAGGCCAAUGAGCGGAUCCUGCAGGAGGAAACACCACCUUCUAGCAUCACUGAGAGAGGUACUGAUAUGAAAUUGGUAUAUCUUGGUAGAAGAGAAGAAUCAGAAAUGGCAUCUUCUCACAUUAAAGAGGAGGCCCCUGAACUGGAACCCGUCCACAUUAAAGAGGAGAGUCCUGUGCUAGAACCAGUCUACAUGAAGAAUGAAGUCUCAGUGCUGGAACCUGUCCACAUUAAAGAGGAGAGUCCUGUGCUAGAAUCAGCAGAAUGUGAACCCCUUUCAGAGGGUUCAUCCAUCAAAGGUGUAGCAGCUGAGAAACCUACAGGAUGCCAGCAAACACACCAGAGAGAGCUUCCAGUGGUGAUCCUCCAUUAAAGUUAGCAGAGAAUUGUGAGGGUCUGGAACCAACUCCCCAGUAAUGUUGUUGAAGCCGACACUCUGGGAUCCUUCAAGAAGCUGCUUGAUGAGAUUCUGGGAUCAAUAAGCUACUAACAACCAAACGAGCAAGAUGGGCUGAAUGGUCUCCUCUCGUUUGUAAACUUUCAUAUGUUCUAAAGUGCAGCUCCAUUCGUCCAAGCUAGUGCACCUGGAGAAACCAUUGUGAACCAGAAGAAGGUGGGCCAGCUGGUCCUGAAUUUUGUUUUGAAAGAACUUUAACCAUUCAACAACGUUGAUUGACCUGGGUUCUGGGAACUUUUCCAUGGGCUACAACCAACAAGGCAACUGAUGUCUAGGAAGACUCUGGUAAAGAUGGUCGAAGAUGAUUUCACCACCAUGAAGAAAAACCUUCUAAGAUGUGUUGACAAAGCUUGAUUUUGCGUCAACUACAGCAGACGGAUAGUCCUGCAACAACAGAAGCUUUCUCGGCAUUCCCAUCCACUAGACUCUCUAGCAGUCUGGUCAGGAGCGUUGGCUUGUCGGCGACUCUUAGUAUGAUUUCCUUGCUUCGAUGCUGGACGAUGUCCACGUGGAAUUCCUUAUACAGAACAAGGUGAAAAUGACAGCGGCUCAAACUUUUAUUCAAACUUUCUGUUUGUUUGCUGACGAUGAAGAAGUUGAAGAAGCUGAUGAAGAACAGCUUCUGUUUCAGGAUGUAACAGACGUCUCAUGUGGAAAAUCAAUGUGUCACACCCUCAAACUUGUUGCGAUCAGUGAUACAGAAGUUAUAAGUGCAUCCGAUGCAUUCAAGAGGAUCUCAAGGGCAACAUUUGGAAAAUGCCAGCCACUGAACAAACACAGAACGCACACAGGCAUCGGACUUGAUCAAUGCCACCCUUUGAUGUCUUUUUCCUAAUACCAAAUGCUACACGGUGGAACCGUCUACCAGGCCAUGGAACAACUGAAGAGGUUGAUGGUGGAGCAGGAGGAAGGUUUUUUAGUAUGCGAUUGGGCUCGGGCUGCCACGAUUUUAAACCGGUGGAGACGACAUUCAUUUGGGAAUAUGUCAUGGUAAGGUUAACUUUAAAUGUGACGCCAGAUACCUGUGGCUGUGAAAGGAAGAGGCCACUCUGUGUGGUGAGCAGGUGAAAAGCAUAUUUCUGAACUCCGUCACACCGUGAGUUCAGCUGGCGUCAGAGUUUGUCAGUUAGUAGGAGCAGCGCACUUCCGUUGUAAUGACCAACUUUUAUUUUUGUUUAGCUAUUAGUUUUUCUUUUUGUGUUUUUCAUUACGGUUGUGUUCACCUGUGGCCUUCCAUCGCUGGUAGGGCAUCGCAGUUUCUUUCUUGUAGUGCGUGGCUGAGAAUAAAACUGGGUGCCUGAGUGGCAUUUGCAAAUGCAUCCCGACCUGUCGUUCUCAUUUUUUUAGCGGUUGCAACCACACCCCCAUAAAAGGUGUCAUUUAUACAGUAACAAUCUCAGCUCUUAAUGAAAAAGCCAAUAGCCAUUACCCUUUUGUAUCGAGGUGCUCGUUUUAACCCCGGUAAAAAAAAAAAAAACGAAUUGUCCAAGCAAAAAUGCCUAUUUGUAAUCCAGUGUGCCCAUGGAAAAAAUAAACACAGCAGGUAAAAACAGCCAGCACAGGUGUAGGAACACUGCUUCGAUUUCACCCAGCGUUCCGACACCUGUCCACAGCCAGAACUCUCAAAAACAGAUCGCUCCAGACAAACAAAAACAAAUAAAAUAUUUAUUUGUUCUUAAAUCAGCUUCCAAACUCGAGGUUCCCCCGAUAGGUGUCCCCAAAUGGGGGAGUUUCCAUGUGUGGAUAUUUACCCGUGAAGUGGCGAUGCACAUGCACGUUUUGGGAGGCAAUAGGUCAGUUUGCUGUGGCUUCCAAGAUGAUGGGAAGUAAGUGGCUGAGGGGUUUUGUGGUUAGCAACGCUGUACUUUAUUGUAACGAUAAUGCUGGCAGCUUAUUAAUGUUAUUAGAAAGUAAGUUUACCACGUCAAUGAUGUGGUGCAUUGAUGUGGCAAACUUACUUUCGAAUCACCCUGUACAUCAUGCUGCAUUCCUAAGUGGGUUUACAGGUCUGUAUACAAGCACUUAGAAAUGUUCCACGAACCGUGUUCCGCUACAGCUGUAUCAGAAUACCUAUGCUAGAGUUAAACUUGAAGAGAGAGUGUGCUGUUUAAACGUCUGUAAUUGAAAUUCCCUUGCUUUUGCUCACCAGUUAUGUCUGAAGGCAACACGUGUGCGCCCACCACUCAUCUUCGCUGGACUGAGGAGGAGACCCGGGCAUUAAUAAAUGUAGUCAGUGACCUGGGCGUGAUGAGUCGGCUCGAUCGCCCCAAACAGCGCAACCAGCAUGUGUACCAACAAGUGGUCAAUGCCCUCUCUAGACGAGGAACAGAACGCACAGUCCCGCAAACCAGGGACAAAUUCAAAAAGCUGAAGCAGUCCUACCUGCAGGAACGAGCAAGGCGGUGCCGUUCGGGAGAAGCAGGACAGUCCCGGUUCCGGUUCUGGGAAGAGAUGAACGGUUUACUGGGACGGCGGCCAGUGGCAGCUGCCCACUUGACUGGCACCUCCCAGCACGCUGCACCCCAGGCGUCAUCCUCCUGUCUUGAUCAAGACCCCUCCACCAGUGUUACUACUGCAUCGCAAUCCGCAAUCCGCAGCCACAGCCUCCUCCAGUCCACGACCGCAAGCUGAAGAGCUGAGCAAACGGUCCGAUUCAGAUGCCACACGCGUGGAGCGGCAAGAGGAGGCAACUGAGGAGGCAGAAUUGGUGGAUGAGACUCCGCAUCCACAGCCUGAUGUGCCAGCUAGAGAACGACAUCGCAAUGCUCGCCCAUCACAAUGCUCUUUAGUAACUGAGUACAGGCGGUCCAGUCUCCUAGAAAUGAGACUAAUGCGACGCCAGAUGCAAGUCGCAGCUGCAAGGCAACAGUUCCUCUUCCAGCAGGCAGAGCGCCGCCGUCGGCACGACUGGUCGAGGUGGAUGAGACAGCAGCAGCAUCAACACCAGCAAACCGUGGCAAUGUUCUCUGAGUUCCUGCACAGCAUUGCUGAGGCUGCGACAUCCCACCCACCUGCGGCUGACGUUGUCACUGACCCAGCUGUGGCUUCUCCUGGCAGAACACAAGACGGGGGACAAUCUAUUCGCUGUGCAGGUCCCCCUCCAAGAGAGGCGCCCGUACCAGGGGAGGAAGAGGUGUCCCACAACUGUAAUAUGUAGGCCCCUACAUAAAUACUACAGUAGAAUUACAAAUGAGUGCAUUGGUUGUGUUUUUUAUUAUUAUUAAUAUUUAACACAAAGGUAAAAUGCAACACAACUUAUAUUAAAGAAAGGAGAGAGUCUGUGAUCGCACAAGCCUCCUCGGAUCGCUGCUGUCCAACUGAACCUGGUGGCUGAGGUAGCCUUUCCACUGCCUGUCUCGCAGGCAGCAGCCACUGAUUCCUGAACCCUUCAUUUUGUUCCUGACACAGGUUGUGUGUGGUCCAGUGGUUAAAGAAAAGGGCUUGUAACCAGGAGGCCCCGGUUCAAAUCCCACGUCAGCCACUGGCUCAUUGUGUGACCCUGAUCAAGUCACUUAGCCUCUUUGUGCUCUGUCUUUCGGGUGAGACGUAAUUGUAAGUGACUCUGCAGCUGAUGCAUAGUUCACACACCCUAGUCUCUGUAAGUCGCCUUGGAUAAAGGCGUCUGCUAAAUAAACACAUAAUAAUAAUAAUAAGUGUGGUGUUGAACGUUUCCUGCUCAGCUGUGAGCUGUCCGGAGGGGUAGGGCUUCAUAAGCCACGGCAGUAGAAGGGUACGCAGCGUCCCCGACUACAUAAUAAGGAACACCCUGAUGCCCUAUAUGUUGUAUUGCCUAAAUGAAAAGAGAAACAUGCAUUACUAUCGUAACAUGCGAGAUGUAUGCAAAAAGCAAUCAAUCUGUUGUAUUUUGAGACAUUUGUGAAAGUACUAAUGUCAAGUGCUCAAUUUGAAACUGCAGCGUUAUGUUAGGAAUAUGUGUACACACAGAUGAAUACCCUGUUUUUUCCUUAAGAAGACAGUAAUACGUAAGGGUACUAACCCGCGGAAGUGUAUGUACAGCCCUGAAGAACAUAAUGGCACAGCAUCGUGUGCAGACUCUAAACCUGUGAAAUAAAGUAACAAGGGAUGUCAAAAUGAUUUAUACAGCUGUAUUACGACACAUUAUGGAUUUGUGAAGGUGUCAUCCUAUAGGGCAGCAGUGUGGAGUAGUGGUUAGGGCAAUGGACUCUUGUCCGGAGGGUCGUGGGUUCAAUCCCAGGUGGGGGACACUGCUGCUGUACCCUUGAGGCAAGGUACUUUACCUAGAUUGCUCCAGUAAAAACCCAACUGUAUAAAUGGCUAAUUGUAUGUAAAAAAAAAAAUAAUGUGAAAUAAUGUAUAAUGUGAUAUCUUGUUCAAUUGUAAGUUGCCCUGGAUAAGGGUGUCUGCUAAGAAAUAAAUAAUAAUACACCCCGCCAUUCAUCUCUGCAUGCUUUCAAUAGAGCAAUACACCCUGCCAUUCAUCUCUGCAUGCUUUCAAUAGAGCAAUACACCCUGCCAUUCAUCUCUGCAUGCUUUCAAUAGAGCAAUACACCCUGCCAUUCAUCUCUGCAUGCUUUCAAUAGAGCAAUACACCCCGCCAUUCAUCUCUGCAUGCUUUCAAUAGAGCAAUACACCCCGCCAUUCAUCUCUGCAUGCUUUCAAUAGAGCAAUACACCCCGUCAUUCAUCUCUGCAUGCUUUCAAUAGAGCAAUACACCCCGCCAUUCAUCUCUGCAUGCUUUCAAUAGAGCAAUACACCCAGCCAUUCAUCUCUGCAUGCUUUCAAUCUUUUUUUUUUUUACCUGAAAGGUGUUCACAUUCUGCUGAUUCUAGCACAGGACUCUCCUCUUUAAUGUGGACAGGCUCCAGCACUGUGACUUCUUUCUUCAUGUAGACUGGUUCUAGCACAGGACUCUCCUCUUUAAUGUGGACGGGUUCCAGUUCAGGGGCCUCCUCUUUAAUGCCAGAAUUUGCCAUUUCUGACCCCUUGUCCUCUGCCAAGAUAUACCAAUGUCAUAUCAGUAUCUGAAAAAUAGAAAAGGUGUUUUUUUUCAUUUUAUUUUACAUAUGAUUCAUUACACACCUCGUAAAAAUGUGUCCUAUUAAAGCACAUUUUCGUUCAGCAUUCAAACUUGAUGUGCAAAUGACAACCAGUUACCAUGCACUCCUAAAUCAAAAUGUAAAAAGAAUAUAAGUACUGAAGAAAAACCUAAUAAAGCAAUAAACAGAUUUAAAGAAACGAACAGCCCUGAAAGAAAAGAGCAUGGAAUUAUCCUCAGUCUACAGAUAGAAGGGAGCAUCUGAUAGAAGUGGCUGCGCUGCUGCACAAUGUUGGCAGCUACAGAGAGCAGGGCUGUGCAAUUCAUAUUGCCUCUUCUAUUGCUAGAAAAACACUCCGGGUAUUUAUUUCUUAGCAGACGCCCUUAUCCAGGGCGACUUACAAUUGUUACAGGACAUCACAUUAUACAUUAUUUCACAUAUCACGUUAUUUUUACAUACAAUUACCCAUUUAUAGAGUUGGGUU